ensembl:lncRNA
CACACAGGCAGUGAAACGUUGUUGUGCUUGUCAUGGCGGCUGUUGCCAUUUCUGCCUGAGUCUAGAGAGAUCUGACGCCGUUUCUCCGCUAGUAGUUGACAUUUUACGCCGACACUUUGGUCUCCCUCAGGUCCCCCUCAUCCCACCUCCCUUGCAAUAGACCACAGUAGCAGUUAAAUUAAGGCCCAAGAGGCAGACAUCCUGCAGCAGACUGAAAAUGCAGAAAACCAGUUGCAUGAAUGAAAUGAGAACAUGAAGACUGCUCCCUAAAAAAAAAUUGAAAGUUCUCAGCUGACCAUGUGUCGUGCAAUGACAGAAAUGUCAAGAUGAGGGUGAGGCAGAGGACAAGGACGCAGGAAAGGUGGUCCUGCCUGCAUCUACAGUCUGAUCAUCAGUGUGGACAUUGAUGCAAAGACUUCAGGCUCAGAAGAUGACAGACCGUCUAUCCAGCCAUCACACCGAGAGCUGAAGGGGUGAAAGCGGAGGCCAGUUGUGGACCAGCCUAUAAAGACAUCGCAUUGGCACUGAUGUUGGAUGACUCGAGGACACAAAAUAAAAAGACGACUGAAAAGAGGGCCCCGGCAGAAGAGACAAAUGAGACACAGCUCCAGAAGUCACAUGACGAUGAGGGGCUGAGUUUACCAAGUGAAUGAGCUAUUGUCUGCUUACACAAGUACUUAGUUUACAGCAUAUAGUUGUCUGUAGAAAUAUGAUUUAUGUGAGACUCAAUCAACAAUGUAUCUGUGUGUGUUUUUCCUUCACAGCCCCCUCCUAAACCCCAAACAUUUUAAAAUAGGAAGUAGGGAAGAGUCCUUAAAGAUGAAAUAGAAAAUGAGACACAUCACCCAGAUAUGAGAAGAAAUGAUGUAAACUGACCCAGGAUCAGCAUAUUACAUGUCUGGCAGCUCAACUAACACCAGAUAACUUGAUGAAGUUUGCUUUCUCCAAGACCCUCAACAAUCACAAGGAUCAGAUCAGGACAGGGAGCCAGAUGAAGGACAGCCACAGGAUAGGAAUCCCCAUUUCUGAACAUGAGAUGUGGAAAGAAAUGGAAGAAGUUGGAGCAUCUGCAGAGAACCCACCCAGGUCCAGAGAGAACAUGAACUCCACACAGACAGAACCAGCAGGAUGAAGAAACAGUGAGAGGAACCCCAGGAUGAUCAGAAAUGGAAGAAUUAUGCCAAGAUGAGACACUGUUAAAGCUGUGAAAAAAAAAUCUAUGUUCAGGCAAACUGUGUGACAUCCUGAUAUCUUGAGUUAUUACUCCAAAUAAAAAGGUGGC